AUCUCUAUCACAAAUUUCCAGUCUCACAUUGCCUCAAUAAGCACCAUUUCUUUUCAAAUUUCAUACACCAACAGUAGAGUUACACUUGCAUUACUAAACAGCCAUGCCUACAUUUAGCAGUGCAACUUCUUGGUUUUGAAAAGUUCGACGGUUUCCACGUUGAGAACGAGGGAUUCAUGAUCUCUGAUUCUCAUAAGCAGUAAGUCCUUGAACCUCAUCACUUGUCACCCAUUCAUGAUCCAUCAUCCCAAAAUUCAAUUCAAACAAUCCAUUAAUGGCAUGUAACAAAAGUUAGUCCAUGUAGUAGAUGACUACGAAGUAACUGAUCUUUUUGUUUAUUUUAUUUUAAAAUUUUUGCUCCUUUCUCCUACUAUUGACUUACUGUCUUCAAACACUAAAUGCCGUUAAUGAAUCUGAACAAGCAAAAAGGCGCAAUUUUCAAUCCCUAUAAACAAAGUAUGUAAUCUGAAUAAAAUUAUUAAUGAAGAAACAAUAAAGAGAAAAACCUGGAAGCGGAUGAUGAAGUCUGCCUCCUUAUCGACGUAGAAAUCGUUGAACUUUUCGCGAAGCUCCGGCAAGGGACAUUAUCAAUUGCACAGCAAAUAUUUGUCCCUCCACUCCGGUAUGGUUUCUUCAAUGGAGAAUCCAAAAUUCGGACCUGAAUUUUUUCAUAAUCAGGCUGAACAUUUAUGCUGGGAAUUGUUGUGUGAGAGCAAAAUGAAUGGAGUAUCAGCGAUGUAUAACUGGAAUUGGACGCAUUAUUUCAUAUUCACACGUCUAGUUGAGAUU